GGAGUCUGGAAGGAGAAGGUACAGAAUAAACGUAGUCCAAUGAGCGGUCAAACGGACUAGAGCAGGGGCGUCAAAUAUGUGGCCCGCGGGCCAUAACCGGUCCACUUGAGGAAUUUUGGAAGUGAAAAAAUGCACUUCAUGUUUGUGAUGUUCAGUAAAUAUGAAUAGUUUCUAAUAUACUUGCGCUUAUUUGCAUGAAAACAAGGGGGGGAAACAUGGGCUUAUCAUUUUUAAGUAAUUAUGUUAUGAUUGUACUGGUCCGACCCACUUGACAUCUAAUUAGGCUGUAUGUGGCCCCUGAACCAAAAUGAGUUUGACCCCGCUGACCCCCUUCACAACAGAGAUGCACAUUAUUUAAGACAACAAAUCUCUGCAACCCAAAUUGCAAAAAAAAAAAAAAAAUCUUAUCUUCCCUCCAAUUUUCUGAGGCCCCCUUGUGGCCUCCACCCUGAACCCUGACCCAGUUGUUUAAAUUUGGUAUUACCAAAAAACCAAUCAAUCUCAUCAAAAUCCCCAUGUCAUUAUUUGCUAGGUAAAUUAAUCUCAAACUUGAUGCGUGUUUUGGCAAGUACUUCUAAAUGUCAAAUGGCUGCAGGUGAACUUUUAUUCCUAAGAUCAACCAGAUGCAAACUGAAGGCAAUAGUGCACACACAGAAUGCAAUGUAGGUCAAAAACAAAAGGGGGUCGGAGGGGGCGGGGGUUAAUUUAAGAGGAGCAAUUCCAGCCACACCAAACGUCCAUUCUUCAUGGACGUAGCUCCUCCACGACCUCCAAAGUUUUUCUAAAAGCAUCCCUCACAAACUCACCUUUUAUAACCCCUUAGCCUUCAGCAGCGCUUUCAAAAAUGUAUGACUUGUGAAAAACAGAGGUAAAAAUGUCAAAGUGAUUUCGUGUGGACACCGCCGCGCGUUGAACUCACUGUCAUAACCCGCGGACAAAGUGUGACCAUGUGUUGUGUCUUUCCCUGCAGAUCCACAUACCCUUCUGUCAUCCGUCAUGUGCCCUCCCACCUGGACCCCCGAGACAAACACACUGACCCAUGACUGCUGGGAUUGGCCCCGGCCUCCCCGCAUCUUUGAAAAGGGUUAAGAGGAAGAAGAUGAGAGAUGAAUGGAAAAAUGAAAAAAUAAAUAAUGCCAGUGACGUGCCGUGCUAUCUGACUGACAUUAUAAUAUCAGCGGCGCUCACUGUGGCUAGACUACUAUCAGACAUUUUCAGCCGACCACAAUUGAAUUCCUGGUAACCUCAUGUGGGGUCAACACUGCCAUGGUAUAUGUAAGAAGACUUCAACCUAGACAAUGGGACCAUAUAGGUAAGUCAAGACCGAUGUGCAGAUCAAGUCACUGUUAAAACCAAUUGGCACUUCGGCUGUUCUUCCUCAACUUCAGCCGCCAACCAACGUCUACCUCAGUCACCUCCAUAGGGUGAGCAGUGUAAAUAAUGGAUGUGACACAGAGUGGCUUGCGAUAAUCUUUGAAAAUCCGAGUCUGUCGCCAUUGCGCUUGAAAUACAGUCGCUUCUUUAAAGACAGAGCGCCGCUGUAGAUUCGCAGAAGCAGGAGAUCAAAAUAGAGCCCAGCAGGAAAUCUUUAAAAAUGUACAGACUCACCGAGCUUUAGAAGGCAGACUGAGCGAAAGCAACCGUUUAAUUCAAAUGGAAUGUUUUUUACCUAAAAUUGGUCUGUCACAUUCCCUUUCUUUAAUAGUGAAAUUGAGGGAAACUGUUGAAAUGGAAGGAGGAGCACUAAAAGCUCCAAAUAAACCAGCUGAGAAGUAAGAUGGAAGCAGAGAGAGAUCCUUACAGGCAGGAAAAAAGAAUGCUGGAGUAGUAAAUAAUAUCCUUUUAGGGAACAAAUGGACAGAAAAUAUAUUAAAAUCAAAGGUCAGUGUGACCAAGCUCUGAUUUAAAGUGGCUUCAAAGCAGAGCUGACACCAGGCACUGGAGUUCAAGUGAGUGUGUUGGGGCAAACGUGUUCAAACCAUUAAAGUAUGGCAAAAGUUACAUAAGUGAAAGCCUUUGAUGCUCCAUUUACUUUGAUGGAAGACCCAACCAAAAAUAAUCCUGACCCCGACUACCUUUGGUCUUUGACCUCUCACUGACAGCAAGACUAAAGAGCGAAAAAACGCAAGAAAAACAUGACCUGGAAUGGAAGAGUCUGCACUUGCUCCACAUACUCAUGCUUCAGUCACACUCUGACAGGACGGUUAUUUUCACAUUUAUCACUUCACGGGUAAAUCUCAGCAAAUUUGACAAAGUGCUCUUGUCAUUUGUGGGAUGAAAAAAAGGCCGCAAGGUUAUAAAAUUAUUCUACUUUUACUAUCUUUACUUCAUCUGCAAAAAUACAUUUUCUUUUUUUUUUAAUAAGUUGUCAAUUCCAGCUGUCACAAACUAUUUACAUCGGUUUGGCGCCUUUUUCAUGUCCGAUACUGCAACUUCAGGCUCAGGCUGCUGCUGCUGAGGCGAUAGUGUCUGUCGCGCAAAAUUAAGUUGAGCAUUUAGGCUUAGGUAUUGCAUCAAACGGGCUAUAUUUAUUUAAUUUGAUGUUCGAUCCCGAAAUGUUUUAAACAAUAUCGGACCAAUACCCAUCGAGUACCAGAACAACCCAUCGCUAGUUAACUUAAAAACAAAUACAGUUUUUGAUCAAUUUUGAGCAAAUACUAACCUAAUCCCCAAAUAUCUUGGUGCAAAACCUAACGAAGAAAUACCGGGGAUUGAACUAGCAAUCUUUUUGCUAUCAGGCAGUGGUUCUCACAGAAAUGUUUUCCCGACCUACACCCCCGCAAAUUGAAUUACUAUCGACUACCUGAUAACAUGUAUAUUUUUAUCUGUACAAACCACUGUAUGAGUUGCUGCCACCUAGUGACUGGAGGCUUGUUAUCAUUCAGGCAUUACAGCAGUGGUAGACACUUAUGUCAAGCGCUCUAACCCCCCCGGCAUCUCACCGCGCCCCUCCAGUGGGGCCCGCCCCACUAUUUGAGAAGUACUGUUUUUUCCGCCAUCUGUCAAAGCUCUGUGAUGUUUAGCAGAACUAUGCGAGCAAUGAUUUGGUCAGGUUUUUCUAACCCAAUGAGCAAACUUUAAUUCCUGUAAGAACGAGGUUUCACAUGGAGUCUAUAAUCACUAGUGGAAGAAAGCAACCCAUUAAAUCAAUUAAAGUGCUACUACUUUUAAUUGCAGGAUAAAAUAAUAAUUUAAAUAUACUGUGGGGGAAAAAAUAUUCAUGUAGUACUUUUCAAAAGAAUAAACAUUUGCAGACUUUACGAAAGGGAUGAGGGACGACGGAAAGAAAAAAGUAAAACUUCAACUCUUUUUGAAGGUGUAGAUAAAAGCCCUGGGGAUGUGCGACGCACAGCUUUCCUCCUGGGCUCUCCAUUCAAACACACUUAUAAACUUGUAAAACUUAUCUACAGCCAUCUUUUUUUAAAAGGAAAAACAUCUUCAAACUUCUACUAAAAAAAAAAAAUCCAGGUAUGUAAUUAGAACGAUUGCCAACAUUGAGCUGUGGCAGAGAAGAGGUUUUUGUCCUCUGUGUAAUGAAGCUGCUACGGUGCAGAAAAGUCUGCACCUUAUACCGACAUGACCCGACAUGAGUCCAUGGCUGAGCGUAGGAGCAGUGUCUCAAAAGUAGCUGCAGGUUCUGCUUAAUUAGGAAAGUUUGUUGUCGUCUAAAUUAACUGUCAGACAGCCGCGGCCGGCUCUGGUCAUCUGAGGCAUGUAUCUGGGCUCUAUCUGAAUGAACAAACCCAACUUUAUUUGUAAAGUUCUCCGGUUUCCACCCAAGUGCCUGUGUUUAAAUCACCCGUCUUUAUCGGCCAGUGAAUCAAAUCAAACUCUAUCAUGUUGAGUCCGUGAUAAUUACUACUCCCACCUUUAACUCCAAACAAAAAAGCUUUCACACUCCAACUUACACAAUUAAAUUAGUAUUGAUUGGCUGUGGUGUUUAAUGUCCAGGGUUAUAAAGUGUUAAAGGACUGUUUCAUUGGUUAUCAUUAAUCUACAUGGAUCACCGCGGUGACGCCCGGCAGGAAAGUGCUUUUGAUUUAAUCUAACGCACUUCCUGUGACGUGUUGCUACAAGGGAUGAACAGUCAAACGUUAGGGUUACUUGAUCUUCGUAUGGAACUAUAUAUUCUGAUUCAGAGUAAACAAUGUUGGAUGAAUAAGGAUGUCCGAGACGCGACUUAUUGUACGGUUACAAGAUUUGUGGCUUUAAAGUACCAACUAGAGUUGUUUGGUUUGUUGUGCACUUACAUUUUAGUGUCUAUUAAUGUACAGUAUAUGAAUGUGUUCAUAGUCAUGUUAAAAAUAUUCAAAACAAUCUUCAAAAGUGGACAAGAAAAGAACGUAAAGUACUAGUGGUUGUUUUGGGUAACUGAUUUAAUAUUCAUUAUCUAUAAUGUAUGUGCAUCCUUUCAGUAUAACUUAAAGAAAGAUAUAGCAAAAACAAAUGUACCUAACGACUAUAAGCCAAAAGUCACAGCAAACAUUCACUGUUGUGACCGUUCACUUAAAUUUAUCCCCUGCUCUGUCGCCAUCUAGUGGAAAAGUUAAAGAACGGUAUUAAAGCUUGUUGUGAAGAGAAAGUCUUCUCCAAAAAUUGUACUUAAUUUAAUUAAAGGAAGACAAUAUCAGCAAAUUGAAAUUCAGGAAUUUUAAGGCAAAGUCUCAAAGACUGAUAAAGAACAUUACCAAUCUAUUUAUUUUUGUUUCCAGGUGUUAUGGAGCUGCUUCCUACUGGAACACAUAGUGGUAAGGCACCCUUUUUUUAACCUCUAAAUAUACACUAAUAAU